CACCUUGAUUUGCUUCAGGAGUUGCUUUACUGUGAAGUUUCUGGCAGUUUCCUGAGACCCUCAGGCAUUUAGAGAAACCUUCUCUGAGCAGGAGCUCCACUCUGAGCACACAACUGGGACUUCAGUAGGUGCUUAGGCACCUUCUGAAGUGAAGCCUUAAAUGGUGGGGUUGUACCAAUAAAGGUUCUUCUAACAUAUUCCUCCUUGGACUGUGUGGAUCCAUUUCUCUUGGAUUUUGGGGACACCUACCAAGGAUACUUCUCAAAGAGAAGAGACCUGCCCACGAGUGUUGAAAUAUCCUGUCCCCACAGGUGAUUCAGGCUUCCUCAGGAGAAAGUGGAGGGGAUGCAGCUCAUUUCCCCUUGGUGCAAAUAAUGGAAGCAGCUGGAAGCUGUUGGGUGAGAGACAGCCCAGGACUGCUGCACACCACCUCUGAAUGCACCCUGGGGUGGCAUCUCUGUGUGAUGAGGACUUCUUACACUCUCCUAAUUAAUGGGAAUUUUGCCUAUUUUCCACCUAUCACACUGUGUUGUUUCAGUUUGGCAGAACUAUUCUCCACUGCAGGAUCAGAGAAUCACAAAAUUAUCCAAUCUGAAAGGGACCACAGCAGGGUCAUCUGUUCCCACCUCUUGCUCCAGCAGCUUCAUCCCAGACCACAGGCAUAGGAUUGUAUCCAGACAGUUCUGGAAUAUCUCCAGUGAGGUUGUACAUGGUCCUUAAUAGUGAAGGGGUUUCAUCAGGGUUGUUUUAGUGCCUAAGAGUGAGGUGCUCUCUGUUCUGCUCUGUAAAAACACCCAUGGUGAAAGUAUCUAGUACAAUCCCAGCCCUAUCUGGGACACAAUGAUUUGAGACCAUUUAAAACAGACAAGAAGAAAAUUACCUUGUUGCUGUACCUUUGCUGGGAUACAGCUCCAGGUACUGAGUGACUUGAGCAAGCUCCAAGUCUAUGAAAAGUUCGGAUAAUUUCAUGAAAAUGGAUCCAUCCUCCAUGCAUGACCAACUAAUGAGCAGCCCCAGCUGUCUCAGUCUCCAGAGAGGUUCCCCAUCCCCCUGAGAAUCUUUGUGGUCCUUCUCUGGACCUGCUCAAACAAUUCCACAUCCUUCCAGUGCUGGGAGCCCCAGGGCUGGAUGAGGUUUUACCAGAGCAGAGCAGAGGGGCAGAAUCCCCCCUCAGCUGCUGUCCACCCUGCUUUGGGUGCAGCCCAGGACAAAUUUGAUUUUCUGGGCUGUGAGUGCACAGCCAGGUCACGCCGAGUUCCUCAUCCACAACUUGCAGUGCCAGCAUGAAGCUCACAACCCAACUGGUUAGAGUUGAAGAGCUGAAGGUAUAG